rnacentral:tRNA from 1 species
GGGAGGAUUCCCGAGUGGCUAAAGGGGCCAGACUGUAAAUCUGUUGUUGGAAAACUUCGGUGGUUCGAAUCCACCUCCUCCCACCA